GCUCGGGUCGCCGACGGCGGCCGGGCUGCCGCUGCUGUCGGCGAUCGUCGGGAUCGGCGUCGGGCUGUCGGCGAUCGUCGCGGCGUCGGGGUUCC
rnacentral:tRNA from 1 species